rnacentral:rRNA from 1 species
UACGGAGGGUGCGAGCGUUGUCCGGAAUCAUUGGGCGUAAAGGGCGCGUAGGUGGCCCGGUCAGUUCGUGGUGAAAGCCCAGGGCUUAACCCUGGAAUUGCCUUUAAAACUGCAUCGCUAGAAUUGUGGAGAGGUGAGUGGAAUUCCGAGUGUAGAGGUGAAAUUCGUAGAUAUUCGGAAGAACACCAGUGGCGAAGGCGACUUACUGGACACAUAUUGACGCUGAGGUGCGAAAGCGUGGGGAGCAAACAGG